rnacentral:ncRNA from 1 species
AGGAUAGAGGCGCGAUUUGCUAUCAGUAGCUUUUGAAUGUUAAAUCCGGCGGGAUGAGGUCGAGGGCGAAAGGAGCGGUCGCCGAAGACGGCGGUCGGCGGACGGUCGGUCUGGUAAAACGGAAUAAUAUCCGAUUUACUGUCGCUUAGGCGGAGAGCUAUCG